UACGAAGGGGGCUAGCGUUGUCCGGAUUUAUUGGGCGUAAAGAGCGUGUAGGCGGCCAGGUAGGUCUGCUGUGAAAACUCGAGGCUCAACCUCGAGACGUCGGCGGAAACCAUCUGGCUAGAGUCCGGGAAGAGGAGAGUGGAAUUCCUGGUGUAGCGGUGAAAUGCGCAGAUAUCAGGAAGAACACCCGGUGGCGAAGGCGGGUCUCUGGGCCGAUACUGACGCUGAGGAGCGAAAGCGU
rnacentral:rRNA from 1 species